AGUGAACGCUGGCGGUAGGCCUAACACAUGCAAGUCGAACGGCAGCACAGUAAGAGCUUGCUCUUACGGGUGGCGAGUGGCGGACGGGCGAGGAAUACAUCGGAAUCUACUUUUUCGUGGGGGACAACGUAGGGAAACUUACGCUAAUACCGCAUACGACCUACGGGUGAAAGCAGGGGAUCUUCGGACCUUGCGCGAUUGAAUGAGCCGAUGUCGGAUUAGCUAGUUGGCGGGGUAAAGGCCCACCAAGGCGACGAUCCGUAGCUGGUCUGAGAGGAUGAUCAGCCACACUGGAACUGAGACACGGUCCAGACUCCUACGGGAGGCAGCGGUGGGGAAUAUUGGACAAUGGGCGCAAGCCUGAUCCAGCCAUACCGCGUGGGUGCAGAAGGCCUUCGGGUUGUAAAGCCCUUUUGUUGGGAAAGAAAAGCAGCAGGUUAAUACCCCGCUGUUCUGACGGUACCCAAAGAAUAAGCACCGGCUAACUUCGUG
rnacentral:rRNA from 1 species